GAAAGCUCGAAAACCAAUAAUUGUUACUUGAAAAUAUGGGCGAAGACGAAAAGAAGAGAGGAGUGUCAAGUGAUCAUCAGCAUCACUAUCCCCCUCCGCCACCCGAGUACGGAACUUUCCAAGGAGUAGCCAACUACCCACCACCGCCUCCGCCGACAGGAUUCCCUCAGCCGGCGCCGCCGCCGGGAGCCGCUAACCCUUCAGCUCCUCCUCAUCCUGAAAGCUACGCUUAUGGAUAUCAAAC
rnacentral:lncRNA from 1 species